rnacentral:lncRNA from 1 species
AAAACUUUUACUCCUUCCCACUUUCCCCCCAAAACUUUUACUCCCCUCCCCUCCCAACCCCCCAAUCUACCCAAAAUUCAUUUCCCACCAAAAUUUUACUCUCCCAUUUAUUUUUUCUCAAAAUUUUACUCCCAAAAACCCUCAAAACCUUUUAUUUUCUCCCAAAAUUUUUACUCCCUCCCACUUUUCCCCUAAAACUUUUAUUCCCUUCCCAUCCCACCUCCCAUCUAUCCCAAACCCUCCCCCUCCAAUUUUUUUUUAAUAUUUUCCCUCCAAAAUUUUACUCCCCCCUAUUUACUUUCCCUCAAAUUUUUAUUCCCCAAAACUUUUUAUUUUUCCCCUAAACUUUUACUUCUCAC